rnacentral:rRNA from 1 species
UCCCUACGGGAGGCAGCAGUGGGGAAUAUUGCACAAUGGGGGGAACCCUGAUGCAGCGACGCCGCGUGAGUGAAGAAGUAUUUCGGAACGUAAAGCUCUAUCAGCAGGGAAGAAAAAAGGACGGUACCUGAGUAAGAAGCCCCGGCUAACUACGUGCCAGCAGCCGCGGUAAUACGUAGGUGGCAAGCGUUAUCCGGAUUUAUUGGGCGUAAAGGGAACGCAGGCGGUCUUUUAAGUCUGAUGUGAAAGCCCUCGGCUUAACC